GCGCUUUCCGCCCGCCAGGCAGCCGCGACCGCGCCUCCCUCUGCCCAGCCCUCCAGCAGCCCCUAAAUAUUCCCUGGGUCCCCAGGGGGCGGAAACGGACUUUGCAGCGCGCCGUCAGGCCCUGGCCCACCUUCCCGCGCAAAUCCUGCGAGGAGAUGCCUGGACCCGGGUCAGCGCCUCUCGGUCCCGCCGGCCCCGCGCAGCCUAAGGAGCGCAUGCGCGCUCGGGGACGCUGCCCUUGCGCGGGGUGCCUGGGCUGCGGAGGCAAACGCAGCGGGAAAUCUGCCGGAGGAGGCGGCCCUCGACCCAAGGGUCAGGGAAGGCUUCCUAGGGAUAUUUAAGCAGCGUUCUGGGAGAGGAAAGCACAUGUGGACAGAUGGAACCGACGAUGCAAAGGCCAAGAGGGCGACCAUUGGGGGAAGUUGCCAGCAUGAUGUGCCACUCAAGUAUUGAGUUCAAGACUUAGCCUGUGUGCAUCGGCCUUCAGGGGAGCCCUGCCUGAUAGUUGAGACAACACUAGAAUCCUAGCAGGCCUGCUCUGUGACCCAGGACAGUCAUUCAUUGCCUCUGAGCCUCACCUCCGGCAUCCUUGCAAUGGCGAGAACAUUCCUUCGCUUGAAGGCUUCCGUAAGCCAGGCACGUGGCGCAUGCGCAGUGAGGGAGCUUUGUCCCACUAGCAUUGCUCAGCCCGGAAACUGAACAGAGGCCUCUAGAAUGUCUCCUGAAACUUGUUCUCUGGGGCUGUGAAUGGAAGUGAGAGAGUGGGGUAGCAGAAGGAUUUUAAGGCUGGGGUUGGGAAGCAUGAGGCCCUGCUCUGGAUUUCCCCUGUGACUUCAGGCAAGUCAGGGCCCCUUUGCCCACCUUGGACGACAGGUGGUGGGCAGGAUGGCUCCUGCGGUCCCCAGGCUGCCUCCAUCAUCCAGUUUCCAGUGGAGUUCCACAGCUCCCCGAAAGCACUGCUCAUUCCCAGGCUCCCGUGACCCCCUCCCUCCAGCCGAUGAAAAUUCAGCGAGCCACCCAUGGUCAUGCAGCAGGCUAUUGGCAGGGCGUUUGGGCUGCCAGGAGGGGCAGGAACACAGUGCUUCUGUGGUCACCAUAGGUGACCUGAGUCAUUGCAGUCAGGGUUGUGGGGACACCUGCAGUGAAUGUGGGUUCAGGGCUCCCUCCUGCUCCAGCCGCUCUGAGCCACACUCCACUGAGACAAGGGCCUGCCCUUUGCUGGACCU
rnacentral:lncRNA from 1 species